rnacentral:rRNA from 1 species
GAUGAACGCUAGCUACAGGCUUAACACAUGCAAGUCGCGGGGCAGCAUGGGGGUUGCUUGCAAUCCCCGAUGGCGACCGGCGCACGGGUGAGUAACGCGUAUUCAACCUGCCCUUCACCACGGGAUAACCCGGCGAAAGUCGGACUAAUACCGUAUGUUGUCCAUUGACGGCAUCCGAUUUGGACGAAAGGCUUGGCGGUGAGGGAUGGGGAUGCGUCCGAUUAGCCAGACGGCGGGGUAACGGCCCACCGUGGCUACGAUCGGUAGGGGUUCUGAGAGGAAGGUCCCCCACACUGGAACUGAGACACGGUCCAGACUCCUACGGGGGGCAGCAGUGAGGAAUAUUGGUCAAUGGGCGUAAGCCUGAACCAGCCAAGUAGCGUGCAGGAUGACGGCCCUAUGGGUUGUAAACUGCUUUUAUGCGGGGAUAAAGUGGCCCACGGGUGGGCUUUUGCAGGUACCGCAUGAAUAAGGACCGGCUAAUUCCGUG